GACGAACGCUGGCGGCAUGCCUAACACAUGCAAGUCGAGCGAGUUGAUCCCUUCGGGGUGAAGCUAGCGGCGGACGGGUGAGUAACACGUGGGCAACCUGCCUCAUAGAGGGGAAUAGCCUUCCGAAAGGAAGAUUAAUACCGCAUAAGAUUGUAGCUUCGCAUGAAGCAGCAAUUAAAGGAGCAAUCCGCUAUGAGAUGGGCCCGCGGCGCAUUAGCUAGUUGGUGAGGUAACGGCUCACCAAGGCGACGAUGCGUAGCCGACCUGAGAGGGUGAGCGGCCACAUUGGGACUGAGACACGGCCCAGACUCCUACGGGAGGCAGCAGUGGGGGAUAUUGCACAAUGGGGGAAACCCUGAUGCAGCAAUGCCGCGUGAGUGAUGACGGCCUUCGGGUUGUAAAACUCUUUUAGUAGGGAAGAUAAUGACGGUACCUACAGAAAAAGCACCGGCUAACUUCGUGCCAGCAGCCGCCGCAG
rnacentral:rRNA from 1 species